rnacentral:rRNA from 1 species
GACGAACGCUGGCGGCGUGCCUAAUACAUGCAAGUUGAGCGCUGAAGGUUGGUACUUGUACCAACUGGAUGAGCAGCGAACGGGUGAGUAACGCGUGGGGAAUCUGCCUUUGAGCGGGGGACAACAUUUGGAAACGAAUGCUAAUACCGCAUAAAAACUUUAAACACAAGUUUUAAGUUUGAAAGAUGCAAUUGCAUCACUCAAAGAUGAUCCCGCGUUGUAUUAGCUAGUUGGUGAGGUAAAGGCUCACCAAGGCGAUGAUACAUAGCCGACCUGAGAGGGUGAUCGGCCACAGUGGGACUGAGACACGGCCCAAACUCCUACGGGAGGCAGCAGUAGGGAAUCUUCGGCAAUAGACGAAAGUCUGACCGAGCAACGCCGCGUGAGUGAAGAAGGUUUUCGGAUCGUAAAACUCUGUUGGUAGAGAAGAACGUUGGUGAGAGUGGAAAGCUCAGCAAGUGACGGUAACUACCCAGAAAGGGACGGCUAACUACGUG